CCUACGGUGGGCAGCAGUGGGGGAUAUUGCACAAUGGGGGGAACCCUGAUGCAGCGACGCCGCGUGGGUGAAGGAGUGUUUCGGUAUGUAAAGCCCUAUCGGCAGGGAAGAACAAUGACGGUACCUGACUAAGAAGCACCGGCUAAAUACGUGCCAGCAGCCGCGGUAAUACGUAGGGUGCAAGCGUUAUCCGGAUUUACUGGGUGUAAAGGGAGCGCAGGCGGCGCGGUAAGCCUGGGGUGAAAGCCCGGGGCCCAACCCCGGGACUGCACUGGGAACUGCAGGGCUGGAGUGCCGGAGGGGCAGGCGGAAUUCCUAGUGUAGCGGUGAAAUGCGUAGAUAUCAGGAGGAACACCAGCGGCGAAGGCGGCCUGCUGGACGGCGACUGACGUUGAGGCUCGAAAGCGUGGGGAGCGAACAGGAUUAGAUACCCGAGUAGUC
rnacentral:rRNA from 1 species